CAAAUGACGAAAUUGUUCAACUCCUAUAAGUCCGGAGGGAAGAUGCCGGAGAAGUCCUUGUGCGCACAAAUAGUCACCUUGCCAAAACCGGGAAAACCACCUGAUAGUUGUCCUAAUUUUAGGCCCAUUUCUCUGAUAAAUAAUGAUUCAAAAAUUUACUCUAAAGUUCUAGCGAACAGGUUAGCGAAAUCAAUCCCCUUAUUAAUUAAUAAUG